CCCAUUUCCCCAACCCCGUUAAAAUUUUAGACAGAAAUCCCUAACCCCUUCCCUUCCCUCCUCCCUUUUUUUCCCCAAAUCGAAAACUCACCUACAGUCCCCACCGAUCCACCAUCCCACCUCCGGUCUCCGGUCCUCCAGCACUCCACCUCCACUCCACAACACUAGGUGGCAUUGUUGUUCUCUUCACUUCGAUUCUUCUGCAACUUCCGAGUCCGACCCAAACCCUUCAAAUCAACAAGUUCAAGCCUUC
rnacentral:lncRNA from 1 species